GACGAACGCUGGCGGCAUGCUUAACACAUGCAAGUCGAACGGAAAGGCCCUGCUUUUGUGGGGUGCUCGAGUGGCGAACGGGUGAGUAACACGUGAGUAACCUGCCCUUGACUUUGGGAUAACUUCAGGAAACUGGGGCUAAUACCGGAUAGGAGCUCCUGCUGCAUGGUGGGGGUUGGAAAGUUUCGGCGGUUGGGGAUGGACUCGCGGCUUAUCAGCUUGUUGGUGGGGUUGUGGCUUACCAAGGCUUUGACGGGUAGCCGGCCUGAGAGGGUGACCGGCCACAUUGGGACUGAGAUACGGCCCAGACUCCUACGGGAGGCAGCAGUGGGGAAUAUUGCACAAUGGGCGGAAGCCUGAUGCAGCAACGCCGCGUGCGGGAUGACGGCCUUCGGGUUGUAAACCGCUUUCGCCUGUGACGAAGCGUGAGUGACGGUAAUGGGUAAAGAAGCACCGGCUAACUACGUG
rnacentral:rRNA from 1 species